GAACGCUGGCGGUCUGCUUAACACAUGCAAGUCGAACGGGAUCCUUCGGGAUUUAGUGGCGGACGGGUGAGUAACGCGUGAGAAUCUGCCCUUAGGUUGGGGACAACAGUUGGAAACGACUGCUAAUACCCAAUGUGCCGAGAGGUGAAAGGUUAACUGCCUGGGGAUGAGCUCGCGUCUGAUUAGCUAGUUGGAGUGGUAACGGCACACCAAGGCGACGAUCAGUAGCUGGUCUGAGAGGAUGAUCAGCCACACUGGGACUGAGACACGGCCCAGACUCCUACGGGAGGCAGCAGUGGGGAAUUUUCCGCAAUGGGCGAAAGCCUGACGGAGCAAGACCGCGUGAGGGAGGAAGGCCUAUUGGUUGUAAACCUCUUUUGAUAGGGAAGAACACAAUGACGGUACCUAUCGAAUCAGCAUCGGCUAACUCCGUGCCAGCAGCCGCGGUAAUACGGAGGAUGCAAGCGUUAUCCGGAUUUAUUGGGCGUAAAGCGUCCGUAGGUGGCAAACCAAGUCAGUUGUUAAAGCGUAGAGCUUAACUCUAUAAGGGCAAUUGAAACUGGUUAGCUAGAGUGCGAUAGGGGCAAGGGGAAUUCCCAGUGUAGCGGUGAAAUGCGUAGAUAUUGGGAAGAACAUCGGUGGCGAAGGCGCCUUGCUGGGUCUGCACUGACACUGAGGGACGAAAACUAGGGGAGCGAAAGGGAUUAGAUACCCCUGUAGUCCUAG
rnacentral:rRNA from 1 species